rnacentral:rRNA from 1 species
GAUGAACGCUGGCGGUGGGCCUAAUACAUGCAAGUCGAGCGAACAGACGAUAAGCUUUCUCCCCUGACGUUAGCGGCUGACGGGUGAGUAACACGUGGAUAACCUACUUAUAAUACUUGGAGGACUUCGGGAAACCGGUGCUAAUACUGGAUAAUAUAUUGAACGGGAUGGUUCAGUAGUUAUAGACGGUUUUGCUGUCACUUUUAGAUGAAUCCGCGUCGCAUUAGCUAGUUGGUAAGGUAACGGCUUACCAAGGCGACGAUGCGUAGCUGACCUGAGAGGGUGAUCGGCCACACUGGAACUGAGACACGGUCCAGACUCCUACGGGAGGCAGCAGUAGGGAAUAUUCCGCAAUGGGCGCAAGCCUGACCGAGCCAUACCGCGUGAGUGAUGAAGGUCUUCGGGUCGUAAAACUCUGUUAUUGGGAAAGAACAGCAGUGUAAUAAACUAUGCACGUCUUGACGGUACCUAAACAGUAAGCCACGGCUAACUACGUG